rnacentral:rRNA from 1 species
GAUGAAUGCGGGCGGCGUGCCUAACACAUGCAAGUCGAGCGGCAGCGAGUUUUACACUGAAUUCUGGAAGCUUCUGGGUAAUAUAGAAGAUUUAUUCAAGAAUUUUGUGUAAAAUGUCGGCGAGCGGCGGACGGCUGAGUAACGCGUAGGAAUUUGCCCCAAAGUGAGGAAUAACUGCCCGAAAGGGUAGCUAAUGCCGCAUAUGGUCUUCGGAUUAAAGCCUUCGGGCGCUUUGGGAGAAGCCUGCGUUGGAUUAGGUAGUUGGUAGGGUAAUGGCCUACCAAGCCGACGAUCCAUAGCUGGUCUGAGAGGAUGAUCAGCCAGACUGGAACUGAGACACGGUCCAGACUCCUACGGGAGGCAGCAGUGAGGAAUCUUCCACAAUGGGCGAAAGCCUGAUGGAGCAACGCCGCGUGAAGGAUGAAGGCCUUCGGGUUGUAAACUUCUUUUAUGAGUGAAGAAUAUGACGGUAACUCAUGAAUAAGCACCGGCUAACUACGUGCCAGCAGCCGCGGUCAUACGUAGGGUGCAAGCAUUAUCCGGAGUGACUGGGCGUAAAGAGUUGCGUAGGCGGUUUAAUAAGUGAAUAGUGAAACCUGGUGGCUCAACCAUACAGACUAUUAUUCAAACUGUUAAACUCGAGAAUGGUAGAGGUAACUGGAAUUUCUAGUGUAGGAGUGAAAUCCGUAGAUAUUAGAAGGAACACCGAUGGCGUAGGCAGGUUACUGGGCCAUUUCUGACGCUAAGGCACGAAAGCGUGGGGAGCGAACCGG